rnacentral:rRNA from 14 species
GCCUAAAACAUGCAAGUCGAACGGUUCUAGCAAUAGGACAGUGGCGAACGGCGGAGUAAUACGUGAACAAGCUACCCUAAAGCCUGGGAUAUACAGCCGAAAGGCUGGGCAAUACCGGAUAAGCCCUCGAAUUGGCAUCUUUUCGAGAGUAAAUGGUUUUUCGCUUUAGGAGGCGUUCACGGCCUAUCAGGUAGUUGGUGGGGUAACGGCCUACC